rnacentral:rRNA from 1 species
AGCGAACGCUGGCGGCAGGCCUAACACAUGCAAGUCGAACGGGACCUUCGGGUGUGGUGGCGCACGGGGGCGGAACGCGGCGGAACGGGGCGGAAGGUUCGGAAUUACUCCCCGUAAGGGGUGCUAAUACCGGGUAAUGUCUGCUGACCAAAGAUUUAUCGCCUGUGUAUAGGCCGGCGAUGUUUGCACUAUGUGGUAGGGUAACAGCCUACCAAGGCGACGAUCCCUAGCUGGUCUGAGAGGAUGAUCCGCAACCCUGGGACUGAGACACGGCCCAGACUCCUACGGGAGGCAGCAGUGGGGAACAUUGGACACUGGGCGAAAGCCUGAUCCAGCAAUGCCGCGUGAGUGAUGAAUGCCUUAGGGUUGUAAAGCUCUUUUACCCGGGAUGAUAAGGACAGACCCGGGAGAAUAAGCUCCGGCUAACUCCGU